GGAAUAUUGGUCAAUGGAGGCAACUCUGAACCAGCCAUGCCGCGUGCAGGAAGACAGCCCUCUGGGUCGUAAACUGCUUUUAUUCGGGAAUAAACCUCCUUACGUGUAAGUAGCUGAAUGUACCGAAGGACUAAGGAUCGGCUAACUCGGUGCCAGCAGCCGCGGUAAUACGGAGGAUCCAAGCGUUAUCCGGAGUUAUUGGGUUUAAAGGGUGCGUAGGCGGCCUGUUAAGUCAGGGGUGAAAGACGGUAGCUCAACUAUCGCAGUGCCCUUGAUACUGAUGGGCUUGAAUACACUAGAGGUAGGCGGAAUGUGACAAGUAGCGGUGAAAUGCAUAGAUAUGGCACAGAACACCGAUUGCGAAGGCAGCUUACUAUGGUGUCAUUGACGCUGAGGCACGAAAGCGUGGGGAUCAAAC
rnacentral:rRNA from 1 species